CCCAAAUCCAUCCCAAAUCCACCCCAACCCCCCGGCACAGCUCCAAACUCCUCCUUGUGAUGCCAGGGGGGUGUUGGGCUCAAUUCCCCACGGACGGGGACGUGGCAGCUGCUCCCUCACUGUCCCCUGUGCUGUCACCUGUGCCCAGGUGUGUCCCCAGAUGUGACAGGUGUGCCCCAGGUGUCCCCAGCUGUGCUCCAGGUGUCCCCAGCUGUGUCCCACGUGUCCCCAGGUGUCCCCAGCUGUGCCCCAGCUGCCCCCUGACCUUCAGCUUCCUCCUGGCGUUGAACUCCUGCAGCUUGCGCUGGGUGCUGUCCAUGUGGGCCAGCUUGGCGCCCGUGCCGGUCACCCAGGGGUGCUGCAGGGCCUGCUGCACCGUCAGCCUGUGCCGGGGCUGCGGGGCCAGCAGCCGCCUCACCUGGCCACAAACAGCCGGGGGUCAGUGCCCAACCCGUGCCGGUCACCCAGGGGUGCUGCAGGGCCUGCUGCACCGUCAGCCUGUGCCGGGGCUGCGGGGCCAGCAGCCGCCUCACCUGGCCACAAACAGCCCGGGGUCAGUGCCCAAUGGGCAUUUAACAGUGUCAUUAUAUGGAUUGUCUAUAAAUAUACAAUAAUAUAAUAUAAUGUACCAGCAGCCCCUCAUCUGG
rnacentral:lncRNA from 12 species